rnacentral:rRNA from 1 species
GCGAGAAAACUUUGCAAUGUGCGAAAGCACGACAAGGUUAAUCCGAGUGAUUUCUGCUAAAGGAAUCUUUUGCCAGUUCUAAAAAUACUAGUGAAUAAGGGGUGGGCAAGUUCUGGUGUCAGCCGCCGCGGUAAAACCAGCACCUCAAGUGGUCAGGAGGAUUAUUGGGCCUAAAGCAUCCGUAGCCUGCUCUGUAAGUUUUCGGUUAAAUCUAUAUGCUCAACGUAUAGGCCGCCGAAAAUACUGCAGUGCUAGGAAGUGGGAGAGGUAGACGGUACUUGAUAGGAAGGGGUAAAAUCCUUUGAUCUAUCGAUGACCACCUGUGGCGAAGGCGGUCUACCAGAACACGUUCGACGGUGAGGGAUGAAAGCUGGGGGAGCAAACCGG